rnacentral:rRNA from 1 species
GACGAACGCUGGCGGCGUGCUUUACACAUGCAAGUCGAACGGAAAGGCGCUGCUUUUGUGGGGUGCUUGAGUGGCGAACGGGUGAGUAACACGUGAGUAACCUGCCCUUGACUUUGGGAUAACUUCAGGAAACUGGGGCUAAUACCGGAUAGGAGCUCCUGCGGCAUGGUGGGGGUUGGAAAGUUUCGGCUGUUGGGGAUGGACUCGCGGCUUAUCAGUUUGUUGGUGGGGUAGGGGCUUACCAAGGCUUUGACGGGUAGGCGGCAUGAGUGGGUGACCGGCCACAUUGGGACUGAGAUACGGCCCAGACUCGUACGGGAGGCAGCAGUGGGGAAUAUUGCACAGUGGGCGGACGCGUGAUGCAGCAACGCCGCGUGCGGGAUGCCGGCCUUCGAGUUGUAAAACGGUUUCGCCUAUGACGAAGCGUGAGUGACGGUAAUGGGUAAAGAAGCACCGGCUAACUACGUG